CGCGGGUAUGAAGAAGACCCCUCGGGUUUUAAAAUUCUUUCAGCGGGGAGGAAGGGAGUAAAGUUAAUUCCUUUGCUCAUUGACGUUACCCGCAGAAGAAGCACCGGCUAACUCCGUGCCAGCAGCCGCGGUAAUACGGAGGGUGCAAGCGUUAAUCGGAAUUACUGGCGUAAAGCGCACGC
rnacentral:rRNA from 1 species